UUACGGGAGGCAGCAGUGGGGAAUCUUGCGCAAUGGGCGAAAGCCUGACGCAGCGACGCCGCGUGCGGGAUGACGAGCUUCGGCUUGUAAACCGCUUUUCUCGGGGACGAUGAUGACGGUACCCGAGGAAGAAGCCCCGGCUAACUCCGUGCCAGCAGCCGCGGUAAGACGGGGGGGGCGAGCGUUGUCCGGAAUUACUGGGCGUAAAGGGCGCGUAGGCGGUCGCCUACGGCGGUGGUGAAAGCUCCCGGCUCAACUGGGAGAGGUCCGCCGCAACGGGGCGACUCGAGGGUGGUAGAGGUGGAUGGAAUUCCCGGUGUAGCGGUGAAAUGCGUAGAGAUCGGGAGGAACACCCGUGGCGAAGGCGGUCCACUGGGCCAUGCCUGACGCUGAGGCGCGAAGGCCAGGGGAGUGAACGGGAUUAGAUACCCGCGUAGUCCG
rnacentral:rRNA from 1 species